ensembl:lincRNA
GGGACUGGGAGUGCCCACUUCCCUCUGUGAGCGCCACUGCAGUUCACCCAGCACCCUACCUCGCUCUCUCUGGACCCGCUUCCUCUUGCUGCUGGCUCCUCCCCAUUGAGUAACAGCCAAGUUGCUUUGGUUUCUAUUUCUGUGUCAAGUCAUUCCCUCUACAAAGGACUUCCUGGCAGGUGUGAAAGGCAGCGGUGGCCACAGAGGCGGUGGAGAGAUGGCCUUCAGCGGUUCCCAGGCUCCCUACCUGAGCCCAGAAAUUCAAACGUGCAGAGAGAAUUGUACCAUCAACAACACACACCCAUCACUCUGCUCCAACAACGAUCAACUCAGGCCUAUGUUGCUUCAUCCUAUACGCCCCCCUUGCUUGCUUCCCUUCCCACCUUCAGGUAUGUGGAAGCAAAUCCAGAGAUACCAUUCCACUGCAAAUAUUUCACUGUGUAUCUCUAUAAUAUGGGAAUUUGGGGGGCUUUGAGACAGGAUCUUGUUUUGUUGCCCAGGCUGGAGUGCAGUGGUGUGAUCAUGGCUCACUGCAGCCUCCACCUCCCAGGCUCAAGGGAUGCUCCCACCUCAGCCUUCCAAGUAACUAGGGUUAAAGGUGUGCACCACCACACCUGGCUAAUUUUUUUUAUUUUUUGUAGAGAUGGGGGUCCCAUUAUGUUUCCCAGGCCGGCCUCAAACUCCUGGGCUCAAGUGAUCCUUCUGCCUCAGCCUGCCAAAGUGCUGGGAUUAUAGAUGUGAGCCACUGUGCCCAGCCAGGAACUUUUACAUAAUCCUUUUUGACAAAUUUUUUCCCCCUAGAAAUUAGAAAGUUUUAUAGAAAAAAAAAUCCAGAUUUCUGUCUUCUCUUAAAAAUUUGGAAGCUCUGCCAAUCCUGGGCCCAGAUGGUAAUCACUGGUUAGCGCUGAGUAGAUGUUGACUUUUUAGAUGAGGGGUGUGACAUCUACUUUGCCACAGUCCCUACCACUCCCUACCUGGCCGUCUGACUCAUAACACAUCACCUGCCUGGCUCCUUUAGGCAUUUAAUUUGUGUUGGAAAUUGACCUAAAGGAGAUAUUAGAGAAGACAUUAAAAACUUGAAGAAUGUGAAAAUCAGCCAGGAGAUAGAACUGUGCUUUAAUGCAGGUUAUAGAACCACACUGGGUAUGAGGCAUUUCAGAAUAAACUUUGAAAACUGGAAAUACCAGUUUGUGAAUUUUGCUCAGAGAGACCAAGGUGGAGGGUGGGUGACAGUGGAGAAGCAUCUCCUAUGUGCCAGUCUCUUCCAUCACAGGCCUUUUCUCACAAAAUCAUCAAUCAUAUGGCUCAGGUGAAACACCUUCCCAUUUUACAGAUGAGAAAACUGAGGCAAAGAGAGGUGAAGUAGGCUUCCCAAGGCCACUCAGGUCAUGAGCAGCAGAGCUAGGAUUCAGACCUGACUCUGAAGUGAUGCAUCCUCACCAUGGCCCAUCGCUCCUUUAAAGAGCCCCGGACAGAGAAUUUGACAAAGUGGUAGCCCGUGGGGCCUGGGAUGGGUGGGGAAACUACUCUAGGGCUUGGGGCUGCUGAGGGCCUGAGGGAAGGAAUGGGGAGCCCGGGGGCAGAAGCAGAGGACUACAGAGGGCAUCUGGGAAGAGGCUCUGCUGAAGAUGGCCAGGAGGGCAAAGGUCACGGUGGCCAUUGUUAUAUGGUGGUGGUGGGGAGAGGGGGAUGGCUUCCUCUUGACCCUCUUGGGCAAGUCAAAGAUUGACCCUCCAGACCCCUGAUGGGUCUCUUUGGCUCCUUGAGCCUCCUGAGUCCCCAGCCAGGGCCCUGGGCACUUUGCUGGGAGCUUGGCAUGAGGUCCAGCAGCCCCCAUUACUACCUAGUUCCUUACCAGCCCAGGGUGUCUGCCUGCUACUUCCCUGCCUGGAAGGAAGGCCUUCAGCUUGGUGCAUUCCUGAUGCAGCCUCCACUGCCUCUCGGACUCUCACACAAGCUCAGCUCCCUGUUGUGUCCUCUCAGGGCCAGGCUUCUCCUUAUCACAAGCUUAGACUGUCUGAGUAACUAAUUGGAUUUGUGUCUGCCUCCACACAGGACCCUAAAACCCGUGGGGCUGAGACUCUGUCUGUCCUGGUCACAGCCGCACCCCAUCCCCUUGCAUCAUCCCAGGCCCCAGCCCACUGACUAGCGCUGGGAGGGUGAACC